rnacentral:lncRNA from 1 species
CUAGGGUUUGAAUAUUGCUGCUUUGUUUCCUGGUGUACUUUAAGGGACAUAAAAAUGGGUUGAGGCAAAAUACCCCUUAAAACAGGGCACGCUCUGUGCACUGCCUUGAGGCUCCAUUAGAGAGCCUUCUUUCCUACAUGUAUCUUUACAAGGCAAAUAACCUGGGACGCAGAUGGCAGGAAUGCCAGACCUCCUGCAGGAGUAGAGAUGGCAAAUGACAACUAGAAACAACCCUUUACCUUCAGACCCUAAGGCUAUUGGCAGAUAUGACCACCUAGUCCAGAAAGGGGUUAUUUGGUCAUGAUCUCCCAUUCAGACUGAUGCUGUUACAGAGCUGUGAUGUGUAUUUCCAGUAGCCACAUGCUGCUGAGAGCAGGCCAGUGUUCAGACUGAAUCUGUAGGAGGAUUAGUGUCCCUGAGAAAGGGCUCUUUCCGUGGGCACUCUCGGCAAUGACUGUCUCUGCUCACACGGGGAGCUGAUGUCUUGGUGUCCCCUUGACUUUGCCCUGGAGGUUUUUGGCUAGGCCAGGGCUGAAAUGUCUGGAGGUAAUCAGAAAUGGUUUCCUGACGACACCUCUGGGGUGUACUCCAACUGUUGAGUCCAUCAGCUGAAUUUCCUUUAUGGGCCAAAACCUUCGAUCAGCUGAUGUCUGACUGAAAUCUGUCCCAGCUUUUGGCUCCUUCACUUCUCACCAAGUACCUCUGCUGCAGCAGACUCGUGUCCUGGGCCAAUUUUACCAGGCUCUGACCUCUUCUGGAGGUGUCUGGGCUGCGUUAUGAGGCAGCAGGCGUACCCUCCCUCUCCCCUCAGAGCACCGUGGGUCCCUGCAGACAGAUCAGGCCAGCGCUGGCUGCUUCCCCCUCGCAUUGCUCUUGUGUUUUGUUUUUUUGCACAGAGCACAGGCAGAAAAACCGUGGAGGACAGGGAAAAGCGAGACCCCGUCCCCAUCGCCUCACGGGCUCGCCUCACGGGCUCGCCUCACGGGCUCGCCUCACGGGCUCGCCUCACGGGCUCGCCUCACGGGCUCGCCUCACGGGCUCCGCUCGGCGCCCUUGACGCGGGGCGGAGCCGCCUCAGCGCUGGCGCUCGGUGCCGCCGCUCGGUGCCGCCGCCCCCCGGCCGCACCGACCACCUGAUCCCGCUCCGCCCGCCGCAGCCGCAGCCUUUGUGUGAGGAGCGGGGCGGCGCGGGGCGGCCCCAUGAGGCGGUGAGGGAUGGCGGCGGGCGGCGGCGGCGGGCGGCCGCCGGGCCCCGACUCGUCGCUGGAGCCGUACGUGCAGACCCGCAUCUUCAAGAUCAUCGUGAUCGGCGACUCCAACGUGGGCAAGACGUGCCUGACCUUCCGCUUCUGCGGGGGCACCUUCCCCGACAAGACCGAGGCCACCAUCGGCGUGGACUUCCGCGAGAAGACGGUGGAGAUCGAGGGCGAGCGCAUCAAGCUUACAGAAGUUCUUACAGAAGAGCAGGGUGCAGGUUGGAAGGGACCUCUGGAAGCCAUCUGGUCCAAUCCCCCUGCUCAAGGAAGACCACCCAGAGCAGGCUGCCCAGCACCAUGUCCAGUAAAGAAGUGCUUCCUGAGGUUUAG